rnacentral:rRNA from 1 species
CACGUAGGAGGCGAGCGUUGUCCGGAAUCAUUGGGCGUAAAGAGCGCGCAGGCGGCUUGGCAAGUCGGGUGUGAAAUCCCGGAGCUCAACCCCGGGACUGCAUUCGAUACUGUCAGGCUAGAGGUAGGUAGGGGAGAUCGGAAUUCCUGGUGUAGCGGUGAAAUGCGCAGAUAUCAGGAAGAACACCAAUGGCGAAGGCAGCUCUCUGGGACGGUACUGACGCUGAGACGCGAAAGCGUGGGGAGCGAACAGG